rnacentral:rRNA from 1 species
UACAGAGGGUGCGAGCGUUAAUCGGAAUUACUGGGCGUAAAGCGUGCGUAGACGGUUAUUUAAGUCAGAUGUGAAAGCCCCGGGCUCAACCUGGGAAUUGCAUUUGAGACUGAAUAGCUAGGGUGCGGUAGAGGGAAGCGGAAUUUCCGGUGUAGCGGUGAGAUGCGUAGAUAUCGGAAGGAACAUCAGUGGCGAAAGCGGCUUCCUGGACCAGCACCGACGUUCAGGCACGAAAGCGUGGGGAGCAAACAGG